rnacentral:misc_RNA from 1 species
GAAAUGCGAUAAGUAAUGUGAAUUGCAGAAUUCAGUGAAUCAUCGAAUCUUUGAACACACCUUGCGCUCCUUGGUAUUCUUUGGAGCAUGCCUGUUUGAGUAUCAUGAAAUCUUCAAAGUAAAUCUUUUGUUAACUCAAUUGGUUUCUACUUUGGUAUUGGAGGUCUUUGCAGCUUCACACCUGCUCCUCUUUGUUCAUUAGCUGGAUCUCAGUGUUAUGCUUGGUUCCACUCGGCGUGAUAAGUUAUCUAUCGCUGAGGACACUGUAAAAGGUGGCCAAGGUAAAUGCAGAUGAACCGCUUCUAAUAGUCCAUUGACUUGGACAAUACUUUUAUGAUCUGAUCUCAAAUCAGGUAGGACUACCCGCUGAACUUAAGC